UGGCGACGGGUGAGUAAUGUCUGGGAAACUGCCCGAUGGAGGGGGAUAACUACUGGAAACGGUAGCUAAUACCGCAUAACGUCGCAAGACCAAAGAGGGGGACCUUCGGGCCUCUUGCCAUCGGAUGUGCCCAGAUGGGAUUAGCUAGUAGGUGGGGUAACGGCUCACCUAGGCGACGAUCCCUAGCCGGUCUGAGAGGAUGACCAGCCACACUGGAACUGAGACACGGUCCAG
rnacentral:rRNA from 1 species